GUAUAUAACUAGAAAGAUUAGAGUUUAAUUAACCAACAAGGUUGUUACCCUAAAAUAAUUUGUCGGUAAGAAGGGUACAUGGGAUUCUUUACAGCAACAUAUGAUCAUUUCUUCUUGUUCUUUAUUUGAUUAAGUAUCUAGCCAACAUUGGAUGCCUAGGCUAGCUAGCUAAUCCUAAAGGAACAUGCCAUGCCGUGUAUAUGGUUGCAUUUAUGGGAUCAUAGCCGCAGGACUCUUUCAUCACUAAUGUAUUUGAGAUUGUUUAGAAAGUAAUCUCAAGAAAGAUCAAAGCAUAUUCCACAAAGUUAGCAUUACUCUUUCUUCAUUUACCUGCAGGAUCCUUCAAUUUCUAAUGCCUUUGAUCUGUCUCUCCAUGUAUCUAUAUAUAGUUUUUGAAAAUAAAAAAUAAUUUGUUUAAUCACAAAGAAUUAGGAAAUAUUAAAUAUAUAUGCACAGGAAUUUUUAAAAUAAUUAAUUAAUAUUCCUGCCUAUUCAUUCACUACCCUCCUCUCUAUUUGCUUUAACACAAGCAAUCCUCUCUAUUCCCGUACAUAGUAUCUUUAAUUUAGUGGUUGGUUUAUAUUCUGUCCUCCAAUUAUUCAAAGUUUAGAGGUAUGACCAUUGUAUACUGUAUAUAGUUUAGAUCUCGACCUAUUUUUCGUCCAUAUAGUAACUUCAUGUUGCAUUAUACCACUGGAAGAGUAAAUGCAAGCACUGAUCAUAAAGGUUAAAAAACAUAAAAUAAUAAUAUAUUUCAUUGCUUAGAAACUUAGGAACAUGAUAAGGAAGGGAUUCGAAUCAUCAAAAGAUUCAAGAUACCUUCCUUGAUACAUUUAUGAAGUGCUUAUAGUAGCAGCACGAUAAUAAUUU